GCCCAGAUAGCUCAGUUGGUAGAGCACAUCCUUGGUAAGGAUGAGGUCACGGGUUCGAGUCCCGUUCUGGGCU
rnacentral:tRNA from 2 species